rnacentral:rRNA from 1 species
GAUGAACGCUGGCGGCGUGCCUAAUACAUGCAAGUCGAGCGAACAGACGAGGAGCUUGCUCCUCUGACGUUAGCGGCGGACGGGUGAGUAACACGUGGAUAACCUACCUAUAAGACUGGGAUAACUUCGGGAAACCGGAGCUAAUACCGGAUAAUAUAUUGAACCGCAUGGUUCAAUAGUGAAAGACGGUUUUGCUGUCACUUAUAGAUGGAUCCGCGCCGCAUUAGCUAGUUGGUAAGGUAACGGCCUACCAAGGCGACGAUGCGUAGCCGACCUGAGAGGGUGAUCAGCCACACUGGAACUGAGACACGGUCCAGACUCCUACGGGAGGCAGCAGUAGGGAAUCUUCCGCAAUGGGCGAAAGCCUGACGGAGCAACGCCGCGUGAGUGAUGAAGGUCUUCGGAUCGUAAAACUCUGUUAUUAGGGAAGAACAAAUGUGUAAGUAACUAUGCACGUCUUGACGGUACCUAAUCAGAAAGCCACGGCUAACUACGUG